AAUCAACGCUGGCGGCGUGCCUCAGACAUGCAAGUCGAACGCGAAAGUUUCCUUCGGGGAACAAGUAGAGUGGCGCACGGGUGAGUAACACGUAGGUAAUCUACCUUUGGAUGGGGAAUAACAACCGGAAACGGUUGCUAAUACCGCAUAAUGCAGCGGCACCUAAUGGUGACAGUUGUUAAAGCGGGGGAUCGAAAGACCUCGCGUCUGAAGAGGAGCCUGCGGCGGAUUAGCAGUUGGUAAGGUAAUGGCUUACCAAGGCGACGAUCCGUAACCGGCCUGAGAGGGCGGUCGGUCACACUGACACUGACAUACGGGUCAGACUCCUACGGGAGGCAGCAGUCGGGAAUUUGGGCAAUGGGCGAAAGCCUGACCCAGCAACGCCGCGUGAAGGAUGAAAUCCCUCGGGAU
rnacentral:rRNA from 1 species